UGGUCAUUUAGAGGAAGUAAAAGUCGUAACAAGGUUUCCGUAGGUGAACCUGCGGAAGGAUCAUUAAUGAUUGCGAAUGGUUACCUUCGGUGCUGGCUCGCUCUCGCGAGCAAGUGCACGUUGGUGGCUUUCAUCCACUACCCUUGUGAACCUUUGGCCUCUUGCUAGCUUCGGCUGGCAGAGGAUUUUUACACACACACUCGAAUGUAAUGAAAACUUGUGUUGUGCGCAUGCACUAAUGUACAACUUUCAACAACGGAUCUCUUGGCUCUCGCAUCGAUGAAGAACGCAGCGAAAUGCGAUAAGUAAUGUGAAUUGCAGAAUUCAGUGAAUCAUCGAAUCUUUGAACGCACCUUGCACCCUUUGGUAUUCCGAAGGGUAUGCUCGUUUGAGUGUCAUUGUACUCUCACACUCUCUGAUCCUUUGGAUUCGGGGAGCGGUGGACUUGGGUGUUUUGCUGCAUUCCUUGUGGCUCACCUCAAAUGCGUCAGUGCACCUCUGGGUUGGACAUAGUACGGCGUGAUAAGUGUCUUCGCCGGCACCUCGCAAGAGGGUGGCCGAUCGAGAGCUCUGUGCUUUCAAACCGUCCUCGGACAAUCUCUGACAACUUGACCUCAAAUCGAGUAGGACUACCCGCUGAACUUAAGCAUAUCAAUAAGCGGAGG
rnacentral:rRNA from 1 species